rnacentral:tRNA from 1 species
AUUUAGUAAAGCUUAUGUUGAAGCAUUUAACUGUUAAUUAAAAGAGAGAUCAAGUAAAUCUACUAAA